rnacentral:rRNA from 1 species
GACGAACGCUGGCGGCGCGCUUAACACAUGCAAGUCGAGCGAAGCGGCGGACGGGUGAGUAACCCGUUAGUAAUCUGCCUUAGACAUUGGGAUAGCCUCGGUAAACCGGGAUUUUUACCAAAUCUUCUACGAGGGAAUCGCGUCCCAUUAGUUAGUUGGUGAGGUAACGGGCCACCAAGGCGACGAUGGGUAGCCGGCCUGAGAGGGUGGGCGGCAACAUUGGAACUGAGAAACGGUCGAAACUCUACGGGAGGCAGCAGGGGGGAAUAGUGCACAAUGGAGUGAACUCUGAUGCAGCGAGGCCGGGUGAACGAAGAAGUCAGUCGAGACAUAAAGUUCUAUUAGAUGGGCAGCGGUACCAAAAGAGAAAGCCCCGGCUAACUACGUGCCAGCAGCCGCGGUAAUUC